UGGGGAAUUUUGGACAAUGGGCGAAAGCCUGAUCCAGCAAUGCCGCGUGUGUGAAGAAGGCCUUCGGGUUGUAAAGCACUUUUGUCCGGAAAGAAAUCCUCUGGGUUAAUACCUCGGGGGGAUGACGGUACCGGAAGAAUAAGCACCGGCUAACUACGUGCCAGCAGCCGCGGUAAUACGUAGGGUGCAAGCGUUAAUCGGAAUUACUGGGCGUAAAGCGUGCGCAGGCGGUUUUGUAAGACGGAUGUGAAAUCCCCCGGGCUUAACCUGGGAACUGCAUUCGUGACUGCAAGGCUAGAGUAUGGCAGAGGGGGGUAGAAUUCCACGUGUANCAGUGAAAUGCGUAGAGAUGUGGAGGAAUACCGAUGGCGAAGGCAGCCCCCUGGGCCAAUACUGACGCUCAUGCACGAAAGCGUGGGGAGCAAACAGGAUUAGAUACCCUGGUAGUCCACGCCCUAAACGAUGUCAACUAGUUGUUGGGGAUUCAUUUCCUUAGUAACGUAGCUAACGCGUGAAGUUGACCGCCUGGGGAGUACGGUCGCAAGAUUAAAACUCAAAUGAAUUGAC
rnacentral:rRNA from 1 species